rnacentral:rRNA from 1 species
AGGCAGCAGUGGGGAAUAUUGCACAAUGGGCGCAAGCCUGAUGCAGCCAUGCCGCGUGUAUGAAGAAGGCCUUCGGGUUGUAAAGUACUUUCAGCAGUGAGGAAGGCGGAGUCGUUAAUAGCGGCCUCGUUUGACGUUAGCUGCAGAAGAAGCACCGGCUAACUCCGUGCCAGCAGCCGCGGUAAUACGGAGGGUGCGAGCGUUAAUCGGAAUUACUGGGCGUAAAGCGCAUGCAGGUGGUUUGUUAAGUCAGAUGUGAAAGCCCGGGGCUCAACCUCGGAAUUGCAUUUGAAACUGGCAGACUAGAGUACUGUAGAGGGGGUAGAAUUUCAGGUGUAGCGGUGAAAUGCGUAGAGAUCUGAAGGAAUACCGGUGGCGAAGGCGGCCCCCUGGACAGAUACUGACACUCAGAUGCGAAAGCGUGGGGAGCAAACAGGAUUAGAUACCCUGGUAG